AGCUGUCUGAAGGUAGUGAGUUAUCUCAUUUGAUUAUUCAGUCAGUUACACAUCCAACUCCUUGUUCUACUCUUUCCCCGUUUCUCAGUACUACACUUGACUAAUUUUUA
ensembl:misc_RNA Y_RNA Y RNA